rnacentral:rRNA from 1 species
AUGGCUGGGUCCGACAGGCGCCGUGGUUGCUCCCCUGUGAAGGAGAAAGAGAGAGUUGAGAGGAUAGGAAAGAGAAAAGAGGGGAGGAGGAGGUACACGGCGGCGGGGAGGCCCUUGUCGCCAGAGGCGACGGAAGACGGCGGCACCGCCGCCCCGCAGGUUCCGCGGUGGCUGCGUGUCAACCACGGAGUUCAACGCCUCCACGCACAAAAGCUCGUCGACGCCAAGUUCUUCCGCAAGGAGCUUGUUUCCUCCUCCUCCCCCUCGCUCCCUGGCGUCGGAGCCGGCCUCCCAAGCCCCGCUCCUUGGCCCGCAUUGGCGUGGUGA